rnacentral:rRNA from 1 species
GAUGAACGCUGGCGGCGUGCCUAAUACAUGCAAGUCGAGCGAACAGACGAGGAGCUUGCUCCUCUGACGUUAGCGGCGGACGGGUGAGUAACACGUGGAUAACCUACCUAUAAGACUGGGAUAACUUCGGGAAACCGGAGCUAAUACCGGAUAAUAUAUUGAACCGCAUGGUUCAAUAGUGAAAGACGGUUUUGCUGUCACUUAUAGAUGGAUCCGCGCCGCAUUAGCUAGUUGGUAAGGUAACGGCUUACCAAGGCGACGAUGCGUAGCCGACCUGAGAGGGUGAUCGGCCACACUGGGACUGAGACACGGUCCAGACUCCUACGGGAGGCAGCAGUAGGGUAUCUUCCGCAAUGGGCGAAAGCCUGACGGAGCAACGCCGCGUGAGUGAUGAAGGUCUUCGGAUCGUAAAACUCUGUAAUUAGGGAAGAACAAAUGUGUAAGUAACUAUGCACGUCUUGACGGUACCUAAUCAGAAAGCCACGGCUAGCUACGUG